rnacentral:rRNA from 1 species
AUCGAUGAAGAACGCAGUGAAAUGCGAUAAGUAAUGUGAAUUGCAGAAUCUCGUGAAUCAUCGAAUCUUUGAACGCACAUUGCGCCCUAUGGUAUUCCGUAGGGCAUGCCUGUCUGAGAGUCAGCUCCCACCCACUCAGGUAUCUGUUUAUCGGAUGCUUGGAAUGCUUUGGAGAGGCGUCUUAUUAUAGAAACGCCCCCCAGAAAUUAAUAGGCAGUAUGGUUUGCACCUGAACCAGAGACGUAAUAAUAAUAAAAUCGUUUUGUUUAGGUAUAAUUGUGCUUGCCUCAACCCACCCAUCUUUUUAUUUUCGGGUGACCUCAGAUCAGGUAGGGAUACCCGCUGAACUUAAGCAUAUCAAUAAGCGGAGGAAAAGAAACCAACAGGGAUUGCCUUAGUAACGGCGAGUGAAGCGGCAAAAGCUCAGAUUUGAAAUCUGGCGUCAUUUUGGCGUCCGAGUUGUAGUCUGUAGAGGUGUAUUCGAGUGUGGCUUUGGCUUAAGUUCCUUGGAACAGGGCGUCAUAGAGGGUGAGAACCCCGUUAACGGCCUUUGUCUUAUGCUCAUGUGAAUCUCCUUCAACGAGUCGAGUUGUUUGGGAAUGCAGCUCUAAAUGGGUGGUAAAUUUCAUCUAAAGCUAAAUAUUGGCCAGAGACCGAUAGCGCACAAGUAGAGUGAUCGAAAGAUGAAAAGCACUUUGGAAAGAGAGUUAAACAGUACGUGAAAUUGUUGAAAGGGAAGCGCUUGCAACCAGACUUGCGCGCUGAUGAUCAUCCGGGCUUCUGCCCGGUGCACUCGUCUGCGCUCAGGCCAGCAUCGGUUUCGGUGGUGGGAUAAAGGCCUUGGGAAUGUGGCUCCUCUCGGGGAGUGUUAUAGCCCUCGGUGCAAUGCCGCCAACCGGGACCGAGGACCGCGCUUCGGCUAGGAUGCUGGCGUAAUGGUUGUAAGCGACCCGUCUUGAAACA